AGCGGUGCAGCGGCCCCAGCCCCAGCGGGCGGCGGGCCCUGGGCGAGCCGCGGAGUUUAGAAACCUCCCCGGGAGGGGCGGGCAGGCAGGGACAUGGCAGCACGGCGGAGAGGAGGGGCUGGGGGAGCAGGGGAGGGGUGGGCACACGGCCGCAGACAGCUUGAUGGGUCUGUUGGCCGUGGGAAUCCCUUCUUGGUAGGAGGAUGGCGACUUCGGCAGAGGGAUCUGCAGGUGUUUGUCCCUGCUUGAAAGGCUGGAGACAAAAGUCUUUAACGCGGGUGGUAUUUAUAUAUUUUAUGUGCUGUAACUGAUACAAAGCUGAUUUGUGUAUUUCCACGUAUAUAAUACAGUAUGUCCAAUGUAUACGAAACAAUCUUGCUGUGUUUUUCAACACAGUAUUUAAGAACUGUACUCGUUUGCGUUACCCCCUGCGCUGCCGUGGUCCCAGCCGGACGAGUUGCCCGCUGUGGCAGCAGUAGGGGAGUCUGAGCUGACUUUCGCGGAGGCAAUGCUACUAAAGUAGGAGAAAGCAAACUGCUCGGCUCCGUUUUAGAAACAAAGGUGACAGCCAGAUGGGUUCCUUGAGUACUGAUGAGCAGAUUUGUUAAAAAAAAAAACCCUCCUGAUUCCUUAAAGAAAUAUGGCAUAUGCAGAAUUGCAUCCUGUAUUUGCAUGUGAGUAUAAGGGAGUAAAUUUGCUGCUGUUUGCUUGCUGUUGCUUUGUUAGUUCUGUGCCCCAUAAAUUUUGAGCUGAUUUCAAACAAAUGAAACAGAGGGUUAAAGCUUGAGAUAUUAAUUCUCAAAGAAAGAACAUUCCUCUAAGUUCUGUGAACGUAGCUGGGUGGGGGAGAAUGUACUUAUGUGCAAAAAGUAAAAACAUGCAUCAUAUAUUUCAACCAUUAAUAUUGGAAUAUCAGCAUUGGGCAGAAGGGUUGUGGGACUGUUGGGAACUGAGUGUCCAGGAACUGGAAAAAUCCCACUUUUAAUCCAAAUGUAUAUUCCUAUAGGAUUCAGCAGUGUCCAAUAAGGAGCUGAUCUCACUUGAAGCCUGUCAUGGUAGACACGCAUAUUUAUCUUCUCUUUGGAUUCUCUGAUGCUCUGUUUAAGACUAGCUUGAAGCUUUGGUAUAAUUCGGUUAAAAAAUCUGACAGUCAUGAGAUGCAAUUCCCUAGGAAAUGAGGCUUCAUAUAUGUCAUUGCCUACAAAACUGUUGGUCUUAUCUGCACUUCCCUUUGCCUUUGUGUAGCCAAUAUGCUUAGGCGUGCCUUUUUCUGGCUAGUGUCAUGAACAGGUAAUUUCUGUAAUACAGAGAUGAAAAGCAGCUCCUUGAGGCUGCAGACAGUUAAUGAGUGCAUGAAGGAAAUGAUUUAUAGUGUGGGCUGAGUUACGUCUUACGUACUUUGCUGAGACUAACUCUCAGCUGGGCUAUCUCCUUUGCUUCUCUUGCAUAAACUACUAGGCAGUUUGUAAGUAGGAAUUUGCUUGUGGAAGCAGCUCCUGGUAAGGAUGCAGAGACUAUCAUUUCAUAUUGCUGCUGCCUUAGUGUUAUCAUUUUCUCAGACAGCUUCUUUGGAAGAUUGAUCAUUGAUCUACCCCUUCCCCAUGCCAGCCAUAAUGCAGUGGUUUUUUAAGACUCUUUUUGGCAGUCAUCUUUACUAAGUUGAAAACUUGAGUUCGCAUAAUUUUGGAAUUUUUUCUUUGACAGUGUUGACAACAUCAUCAGCUUUUAACUGAAUAUAUUGUUUCAUGAACCCAGGCUGAAUGAAAUGGGACCAGGCGUAUCACUUCCAGCUGUUCACCCUGUCUGUUUGUUGCCUGGCUGAUACCGUGCUGGUGGCAGGCAUAGCUGCGUUGCAUAUGAAGCAGGUAGUCCGUGCAGCUUGCAGGCUGCCUCUGUGCAGCUCAGAACCUGUGCUGAUCUAUAUUACUAUUUUGAUCUGUACACUGGAUUGCCUUUAUGCAUGACUCAGCUUCCUGUCACGGUAGCUGCCACCUCUGUGAAAGCUGAAAUGGACAGAUGCCUCAGAGUGGUAAUCUCUUCUGCUGUCCGGCUUCAAUCUGUUUGUGUUUGGGGCUCAAUGUCCUAGGCUUUAGCACCUGUGAAUAUAAAAUGCUGGGAAUGAGGCUGAAAUGGAGAGGAUAAAGAAAUGACUACAGAGAAACUAAUUUAUUGCUUUACCUGAGACUUUAUCAGUAUAAAGGCACUCUGGGUGAACUCAGCUGGGAGAUUAGUUGGUAGCUUUUCUUAAAUUAAAAAUAUUUUGUUAAUUUAACAAAUUAAAACAAUAUGAAAAAAUGUUAUGUAAACAAAAAUAAAAAUCAUGACUAGGAUUCUUCUGUGUUCAUUCUAAGCAUACAUCAAAAUUACCCUGUUUCACAUUGAAUAACAUGCUUUUAAAAUUGUUCAUUUAGAAGUGAUAUGUUAGAAUCAGUGUCUGUAUUUGAGUCCCACACUAGUUAUGUGGAAGCCGCCUGGGUGGUAGAUGGCAGAGCAUUGCCUGAAGGCAUGAUCCCCAAACUUUCACCCUGACUUUAUUGUACUUGGCAGCUGAUCUAUGGUGUCUGUCAAUAAAGCUAAUGCAGGAAGUAUCCUUUUGUCAGACAGGAGUAAAACCAGAUCUAUAAUUCUGCAAGUGACUUCAUAUAAACAUGGCUUGAUCCUGAAAAUCAAGGAGUCUGCAUAGUAACAGGGAAUCUUUGCACAUACUCACUUCUUAUGUAUUUUUCCCCCUUUCAACCUAAUGUUACUUGGUUAUCAUUCUGUCUUUAUUUGCUCCAAGUUUAAAUGAAGGAACAGAAUGCAUUCCUUCGUAAAACACAUGAGUAAAGUCAAGUUAUUCCUGAUGGCCUGAUCCUGCUGUAAUUCAAACAGAGUACUGCUUUAUUUCUUGAGUAGUUCCACAGGAAGUGGUACUGAAGGUAGGAAGAACAGUUCAGUAGUCCUGAUUCAAAUCCAUCGUGACCCGUAAAAAAUGCACCAAGUUGUUUGGCUUAAACCCAGCAUGAUAAGGGUUUGCAAAUUAAAACCGGCUUUCUGAGACAUGUCAUCCUGAGUCAAGUUGUUUAAAAAUGAGCAUUACAGAUCAGUUCUAAUAUGUUAAAGAGCUUGGAAAGUAACCUGGGUGAUAUGCUAUAGGCAGUUAACUAUGAGAAACACUUAUUCUGUCUGCAGGCUAAAUUUAAGUUCUUGUUCAUAUGUGUUUUAAUAUUUCAAUAUAUAGUGGGGUGUGCAAAAACACUUGGUAGUAGUUCAAUAUCAGUCUCACUGCUAUCAGAGGAGACAGGCUCAGUACUUCUGUUGAAGGCAUACCUGUAGCUGGCACUUUUGUAAAACAUAUACCAAAUAAGUGACAGGGUCACAACAGUUGAGGGGUUUUAUUUAUAUCUUUCAAGUGAAGCGUUUUGCCCUGCACUAAAAAACAGGCACUGCGGUAUAUAGCUGAAAUACCCAUCAGUCCUCCUCAGAUGUUUAGAGCCUGGUUCUGCUAGGGGCUGUGUGUUCAGCCUUGCUAUUGUCUUCAUUCCAAACCAGUAACUAUUUGCAGGAGUUGGGAAGGCAAAGUUUUAAGAUCAGGUCAAAAAUCAAGGCUUAAGGGUCAGCAAAUUGACCAGAAUCUUGCUGUUCGUGUAGAAGUUAAAAGACUCCUGUGUAGAGUUACAUCAUCUGAUGAAAUACUAACGCAAAGCUGAGUGUUACUUUGCUGCUCCCCAGCAAGCUGGCCCAGUUUUACAAGCAGGCGACGAAGGCAGUUGCCUAGAGCGACAGACAAAAGGAGGCAAUAAAAUCACAUUCUAAGCAAGAAUGAGACCCCGUGACUCUGUGCCUGUUUUUGCCGGUUUAAUGAGGACUCAGUGCAUUCCCCAGGCACCAUUCUCCUCAAGGUGCUGAUGUGCUGAGACUGAGCAAGCUCCUUACUACAGGAGCCAUGGCCAUGGUUUGAACAUCCCAUCUAUUUGUGCUUGUCUCUACUUCAACUUGCUGCUGCUUAAACUGAGUGGAGAAACUUUAUAUGCUCCUCCUCUGCUCCUUUUUCUUGACAGUGCUGUAUUACUUUUGCCAAAAUGCUUGGAUUGGCAGGAGAGCAGGGACAGAUGUGCUGAGACUAGAGAGCUCACAAAUUCAUGCUUCACUAAAAAAACCCCUGUUAUUAUUAGCCUUGCAAAUUAGGGAUGACAGGCUGCUGAGACUUACUGAGUUUAUAUUUAUGUCAAGAAACUCAUUGCAAGAAGUAAGACAUAUCUUAGUAAAUCUUACAUGGGUACUGGAUUGCUAUAAGGAUCUUUUACAGCCAUCUCAGGGCUCAGUUAACACUGUUAUUAAAUUUCCUAUUCUUCUUUUCUUUCUUUGCCUCUGUCUUUUGGUUCUUUUACUCAGAGUUCAGAUUGAAAUGCAGGAGAGGUGGAGUUUUUCUUCAGACUCAGAUGUUUAUUAUUUCUUAUCUAUAGUGCAGCUGCACAGGAUGUGCCUCUAAGUUAACAUGGUGAAAAUGGCCCCAGAGUUCUACCUUCUUAAAGCCCAAACUACCCAAUUAUGGAAUGUCAACUAAUUUAUUUUUACUUAUAAUCCAAUAACUAAUCAUUCAUGUUCCACACUGCAGGUUUUUUGUACCAGUACCAGAUCACCCAGGCUUGUGAAGAAGAAGGAAGAAGAAAGAACUAACCUACACCCAAAAUCCUCUAUCCUGUUACAUGUAUAUCCCAGAAACCUAAAUUUUUUACAUCUCUACAUAUUCCACCCAGUGAUAUAACAAACUUCUUUUUUAAUUACACAGCAACAAUCUCAGUGCUAUCACAUAAUUUGGGAAGCCUUUCCCAAAGCCCCAGGUCAGAUGCAGUGCGCUUUUGAGGAUCACUGCCUGUCAGCACUGAAAGACUGAAAUUCUCUGAACCCAGGGUUCCAACACACUACUUGAUGUAGGCUUCCAUUUUCCACCCAGUUUUGAGUGCUAAAAAUGUUUCCUGCCUUUUCUCCACUGCAUGUGCUCUGACACUUCUAGACUUUUGGGAAGGAUCUCUUCUGUGCUCUGAAUAGGUUGCUGUAUUAGGCUUUGCUAAUAGAUAGACGUGGUGGAGACUUCAGUAUCACUGACAAUAUGGUUAACAAGCUGUAACAGAGUACCUUUCUGGAAUGACAGUCAUUUUGCCCUACUGCUUUUUAGAGGAGCUGCUUGGAGCAGCAGAGUUUUGUGAGCUGACUGCAGGGACUGAGGUGACGCUGCGUUGGUUUGCUCUAGGUUCACAGUUGGUUUGUCAUGUUGUCCAAAGGCAUGCACUGAAAGCCUUGGUAGGUCAGCCUUCACCACACAUCAAGGUCUGUAAUAGAAAGAAAGGAAAUGCAUAUGGAUUACAAAAAGGAGACAAUUUUGUCUCCUCAGAAGUAAUAAGAAUUUGGAAAACUACUACGUUUCUUUAGACUUUGUAACUUCAGUCAAUCCCUGUGUCAUCAAAAGGAGAUUUAUGGGAGGGAGAUUAUCCCACAUUGGCCCACUGGAAUGUUCUUACUCUUUGUAACACAUUACUAUGUUCAAAAGGGGGUGCUAAACUUGGGUCUCAUAAAACAAGGACAAGUUUGAGUUUCUGUAUUUUUAAUCCAGGAAUACAUUUUUCUUGUGGGUGAGCCUGUAAUAAAAUUCUGCUAACUUCUCCAUAUUGUUUGCACAAUUUCAUAAUGAUUUUUUUUUCAUUUUCCCUUUUGAUAUUUUACUUUUGAAUAUACAGUAAUGGGAUAUGUGUUAGGUUUUCAAAUCACUUUCACAAAUGCUAAGGAGAGGACUCCAGCCUAGAAUGUGAUUUCCAAAUAUGGAGGGAUAAGAACAAUUCUGUCUUUUAGGAGCUGUCAAGCAAUGUGAUUAUGCACCUAUGUAAUAUACAGAUUAUUUUGUAUUUCAAGGAAAAGAGAGAGGUUAAUACCUGAUUGGGUUUGUACCAUUGUAAGCACAGCUGUACUUCAUUUCCACCUCCAAGUUCCAGUUAUUUUAUUCUAAAUCCUGCAUCACUGGGAAUCUGCCUUGACCCCUGGAAUGACAAUCGACUGGAAAUUGAAGAGGUCUGCACCCUGGUUUUUUUUUGUUGUUUGUUUGUUUGUUUAGGUUUUUUGGUGUGGCUGUUUUUUGUUUUUUAUUUUUUUAAUGUCCUUUAGAAAUUUUCUGUUUUCUUUGAAACUGAGCAAGGCAAACAGCCUUUUCUGUAAUGUUGUAAGUGGCUACACCGCAUCUAUAAUUUUAUCUCAUCUGAUUCUUGAUUAAAAGGUUCUUCAGACCUAAAAUAACAUGAUUAAAUUUCUUAUUUUUGUGUGUGUGUGUGUGUCAGUUUCUACUGGAAGAUUAAAAUAAGCCCUUUUAUUUCAUGCAGAAUUAGAGUUCUCUUGCACAUGUAUGUAGGUGUACACUCCCCAAGCACAGGUGCAUACACACAUGUACAUACUCAAAAGACACACAAGGACGUAUGGAUAAAUAAAAUCACAUGGAGUAUGCAGCAAUAAGAUUUCCAUGUUAGUCAUUCAAAUUUGCCCAUAUGCCUUUAAAUUUUACCCUGUUGCAUAUAAGCAUUAUGGCAACCUAUAAUUAACUGACCCAGUAUUCUAUUUUACAAUCCCUUCUCAUAACUCAGUGCAGAAAAGAGGGGUGUUCAUUUAAUGAACAGUUUUCAGCUCUUUGUCAGGGUGUGUUUGGAGGCAGGCUUGCAGGUCACCAUCAAUACCCUGUUAGAAGCAGGUUUUUUACUUUUGAAGUCUCCCAUAUAAUUUCCUAAGUUAGUAUAUAAGCACUUCCAAAAGCUGAGUAACAGCCAAGCCAGAAGAAGUUUCAUGUUUCAUUAUUGAAGCAAACUUGUUCCACUAAAGCACAGGAAAACUAACACCUAAAGUAUCAAUUAAUUUUGGAUGCCCUCUCUGAGAUAGCAAGGACUGCAUUUUUUCAGAGUAGCUGGUAUUAGAUACUGAGUACAAGACAUGAUUUUUAUCAGCUUUGGUUGUAACUGAGAGUGUUCAGUGUUUUUGUAUAUCAACUUUAGGACUUCCAAGUCAGGUUGUCAGAAAAUGAAGAAUCUAGAAUUAAUGACCACCCCUGAAAAUUUAAAUUACUUAAUUAGCAUCAUAGGAAAUCUGGGGCGGAAGCCAGGACAAAAUGUCAUUCCCUCCCCCUCUGCAAUGUUCACUUUCUUAGCUGUGAAAGUGGUUCUUUCCUGUAAUUCCUUGCCUCAUUCCUAACCUCAGCUAAAAAUAAAUUUGCAAUCUGCUUUAUUUUAUGGUCCUGCAUCAUCCUUAAAGGUAGUUACAAUAAAAUAGGAAAAAUAUGCUCUCAAGUGCUUUUAACUUACUCAUCCCACCCUCUGAGUCUUCUCACAUACCUUAGUCUGCUUCCCCAGACUUCAUCCUACUCUACUGUCCAUUUCUUUAUCCCAUUCUGCUUGUCUUAACCAGUUCUUUUGUAUGUUUCCCAGAUUCCUGUCCAGUGUGUCUGUCUCUUUCCAUUGCCCAACACCUGCUUUUCCCCUCUUCCAGCUACAGGUCCUAAUCUCCAAUUUCACUCUUUUCAUGCAAUUGGAGUGUCUGUCUGUUGUUACUCCCUCUCCCUCCCCUGCCUUGUCCUCAUUUUUUGGCCAGCCACUCACUUUUAGCUCAUCUUUCCCUGUGCUUUCUAGGGUUCACGACUUCCCUUAGCUGUUUUGAGCUUCUCUUCUCCCCAGUUGCCCAUUUUACAUAUUCCUCCCUUUCCCCAAGGGCAGUGGGGAGGCCCCUGCUGCUCUCUGACAGACACUUCUCCUAGGACAGUGAAAAGGAGCUUUAGUGUUCUGGAAUAUAUACUGGUAGUGGUGACAAGCGUGGUAAAGUCCCAUAUGAUGAGAACAUUUGAGAUGGACCUAAAGGCUUCUGGGUCUAGAAGUUGUUUAUGGUGGCAAAGAAGAUGCUCAUAUUCCCUCUGAGGAAAUGCAAUCCAAAUACAAACCAGAAAGUAAAGGAAGAGGAGGGACAGAAGGCUGAGAUGUUUCUCUGCGAGUCUGUCCAAGUUUCUGUGUCACUGCUUUUGCAUAGAUUGUUGUGGGAAGGAAUCUUGGAAUCAUCUGAAACAGAAAUUAGGGAGAGGCUGAGCCUAGGGAGUAUGUACAUGUCUGCAGCUGAGUUAAGAGAGGCCCAUCUGCUGUGCAGGGUUUCAUGAGUGUUUUCUUCUUCUCCUCAGUGAACUAUACCUACUGCACAAGUGGCAAGUGAAUUUUAGAUGCAUAAGUCAAAAUAUUCAUGUUGCAAGGUUGCUGCUGAAUAAAAUUUAACAAUCUGAUUUUACAUUUGUGUCUGUGUGUAUAUAUUUACUUAUUUGUGCACAUUACAUGGAAAAUAAAAUCACUGCGUUCUGAUGUGUUUGUGCUAAUAGAAAAUGAUGCCAUUUACACUCCAUUGUUAAUGUGAUUUUAUGUGAUUUAUUGACAUGGAAGUUUAUUUUGGACAUAUGAAGACCUGGGAGAGUAGGAUUAUAAUAACAACAAUAAUUUGUCUUUUUAAUGCUAAGAAUGAAAUAAAGAAAAAAAAGAAAAAAACUUGCUAAGCUUUGUUUAACCUUCAGGGGUUCUGGAAAAGCAGCUGUCACUUUUUAAAAUCUUGUUUAGUAUAUGCCAUCAUUUUUCAUCUGGAUCCCGUGUUGAUACUGCAGCUGUGCUGGAGGAAAAGGAAGCUUCCACCUUUCCGAGUCCAGAACAAUGUACUCAAUCUUGGAGACAAGCGCUGAGAACAAAAGAGAGUGUGCUUGCAUGGAUCUGAUUAUUCUGGCACAGAAGUGGUGGCAGUGGAUUUCUGUGUCUAGCCUACUGUUGCUAAUAGUGAUUUCUGUAAGCUGAUGGAGCACAGAGUACCUUAUUACCAAAUGCCUUCAAAGACAUGUUUUGCAAUCAUUGCCAUGUCACAGUUGUACAGUGCUGUGCUCUGAAGUGUUGUGAAGGCCCUUAGGCAGCCUUAAUGUAAAAACAUUUGCUGAAGAGCCAUGAAGACAACUAUCAUCAUCCAAGGGUGAAUUUUAAUUCAAAAUAAUCUUUAUCCACAAAUAAAAUCUGUAAUUUGGUUCAUUGCUUCAGUAAAAUGAUUUUUUUUUUUACAGAAGCAAGAAUAGUUUAGUCUGUUCUUGGCAGUUAAUCAUAUUUGCUGAACUAUUUAAAUAAUUCAGUAACUCCCUCUCAUGAGUUAAAUGCAUUGCUUAUUGUAGGGAAUGACAUCAUUACUGUCCUUUCGUCAAUGUAGGUCCGUAUAAACCAGCAGAUGCAAAAAUAGAAUAAUAGAAUCAUCAAGGUUGGAAGCGACCUUUAAGAUCAUCAAGUCCAACCAUCCACCCAGCACUGCCCCUGUAACCCCUAAACCACAUCACCCAGUGUCAGAUCCAGAUGCGUCUUGAACACCUCCAGGGAUGUGACUCUGCCACAUCCAUGGGCAACCUAUUCCAAUACCUGACUACCCUAACAGUGAAAAAUUUUUUCUAGUAUCUAAUCUGAAUCUCUCAUCUCAGUUUAAGGUAAUUUCCUUUAGUCCUCUCACUGUAGGAACGGCAGAAGAGACCAGCCCCCACCUCCCUACAACCCCCUUUCAAGUACUUGUAGAGAGCAAUGAGGUCCACCCUGAGCCUCCUCCAGGCUGAACAAACCCAGCUCCCUCAGCUGUUCCUCAUAAGACAAAACAUGUCCUAUGAGGAACAGCAAAAAUGUUUCAGGGCUCCCAGUUCUAUAGUCAUUGAAGGUUGCUGUCAGGGUGAGAUCAUGUACCAGCCCCUUUUCUGCAUUGCUUUUCUUCAGAAGAAAAUCUGCCUGUUUGGGCUGGAUGGGAGCAGCAGCAGGCACCAGGCAGAGACAAGUGCCCUGACACUCACUGUCUGCUUCACUCCAGGCACCAACCUCUGACUCAAUCUUUGCCAAAUUCUCUGUGAGCAGUAUUGGCCAGAGGAGUAAAUAUGUUCUUUCUUCAUCAAGCAGAAAUUCAACAGAAGUAAACUUAAAUGGUGUUUGAACGCUCUGUAUUUACCUUGUACGAUUUUACAUGAAGAAAAAUAUGUGGAUUAUAUCACUGUCAGAUUGCUGUCCUGUGUAAGACUUGAGGACAAGUUGGAUCAAGCUGAUAAGCCAAAAUUUGUGCUAUUUAGUUCACCAAGAGGUGGCAGCCUUCACUCAAGUCCCUCCAGACUUGUCUGCUACAGGUUGACGAGAUGUGCACCCGGCAUGGACAAUGGUUGGUCUUGCGGGCAUGUAUGUGAAUGAAAGAAACAUAAACAAAAUAUUCCUGCUGGUCUUCAUUGCUUCCUACUUAUAUUAAAAAGAGAUGGUGAGAAAAAGCACAUCCCAAUUUUUCUGGACAUUUUGCACCUUUGAGAAGACAAUGUUUUGAUUAUUUUGUGAAGAUUCUAUGAAAUUUAUAGCUAAAUAAAGUUUCUAAAACAUUAUUAAGGCCAAAGAGUAUCUGGGAUGGGACUAUAUAUCGUGAGAUUUUGAUUCCUUAUAUUUUGUGUUGUGCAACAUGCAACAGCUUUGAUUUUAGAUUUUCUGACCUAUGAGGAUGACUACUGAUAGAAACCAGAUUGAGAUAUGAUGCUCUGUUUGUGAUUUAAUCUCCCAUAUGCCUUUUGAAAGCAGAUAAGUAAUUUCCAUCAUCAUUUGCAUUA